ensembl:snRNA U6 U6 spliceosomal RNA
GUGUUUGCUUUGAAAGGACAUAUAUUAAAAUUGGAAAAAUAUAGACAGAAAAGAUUAGCCUGGCCCCUGUGCAAAGAUGACAUUCAAAUUUUUAAAGCAUUCCAUAUUUUU